rnacentral:rRNA from 1 species
UUGGAGGGCAGUCUGGUGCCAGCAGCCGCGGUAAUUCCAGCUCCAAUAGCGUAUAUUAAAGUUGUUGCAGUUAAAAAGCUCGUAGUUGAAUUUCGGGAUUCAUCCGUUGGUCGGGCUUCACGGUCCGUACUGGUGUGAUGGGUUCCUACCUUCUGAAUAACCGGCAUGCCAUUAAUUUGGUGCGCCGGGGAAGCAGAACGAUUACCUUGAAAAAAUUAGAGUGCUUAAAGCAGGCAAGUGCCUGAAUAGGUUAGCAUGGAAUAAUAAAAUAGGACGGCAUGGUUCUAUUUUGUUGGUUUCUAGGAUCACCGUAAUGAUUAAUAGGGAUAGUUGGGGGCAUUAGUAUUCAAUUGUCAGAGGUGAAAUUCUUGGAUUUAUUGAAGACUAACUUCUGCGAAAGCAUUUGCCAAGGAUGUUUUCAUUAAUCAAGAACGAAAGUUAGGGGAUCGAAGACGAUCAGAUACCGUCGUAGUCUUAACCAUAAACUAUGCCGACUAGGGAUCGGACGAUGUUAAUUUUUUAAUGACUCGUUCGGCGCCUUACGGGAAAC